rnacentral:rRNA from 1 species
UGGAGAGGGUUUCCGGGAUUACUGGGCGUAAGCGCGUGUAGGUGGUUCGUUAAGUCGCUGGUGAAAGCCCCUGGCUCAACUGGGGGAGGUCUAGCGAAACUGGCGGACUCGAGGGUCCGAGAGGAAGGUGGAAUUCCCGGUGUAGCGGUGGAAUGCGUAGAGAUCGGGAGGAACACCAGUGGCGAAAGCGGCCUUCUGGCGGGCUUCUGACACUGAGACGCGAAAGCGUGGGGAGCAAACGGGAUUAGAUACCCCGGUAGUCCACGCCCUAAACGAUGCAGGCUAGGUGUUGGUGGGAUUUCCCAUCCGUGCCGUAGCAAACGCGUUAAGCCUGCCGCCUGGGGACUACGAGCGCAAGCUUAAAACUCAAAGGAAUUGACGGGGGCCCGCACAAGCAGCGGAGCGUGCGGUUCAAUUCGACGCAACGCGAAGAACCUUACCUGGGCUCGAAGCGCAGUGGAAUCCGGUGGAAACACCGGCGCCCGCAAGGGCCGCUGCGGAGGUGCUGCAUGGCUGUCGUCAGCUCGUGUCGUGAGACGUUGGGUUAAGUCCCGCAACGAGCGCAACCCUUAUCGUUAGUUGCCACCGGGUCAAGCCGGGCACUCUAGCGAAACCGCCUCGGAUAACGGGGAGGAAGGUGGGGAUGACGUCAAGUCCUCAUGGCCUUUAUGUCCAGGGCUACACACGUGCUACAAUGGUCGGUACAAACCGUCGCAAACCCGCGAGGGGGAGCUAAUCGGAAAAAGCCGGCCUCAGUUCGGAUUGGAGUCUGCAACCCGACUCCAUGAAGCUGGAAUCGCUAGUAAUCGCAGAUCAGAACGCUGCGGUGAAUACGUUCCCGGGCCUUGUACACACCGCCCGUCACAUCACGAAAGUGGACUGCACUAGAAGCCGGCGUGCUAACCGCAAGGGGGCAGCCGUCCAAAGGUAUGGUUCAUGAUUGGGGUGAAGUCGUAACAAGGUAACC